GAUGAACGCUGGCGGCGUGCCUAAUACAUGCAAGUCGAGCGAACAGACGAGGAGCUUGCUCCUCUGACGUUAGCGGCGGACGGGUGAGUAACACGUGGAUAGCCUACCUAUAAGACUGGGAUAACUUCGGGAAACCGGAGCUAAUACCGGAUAAUAUAUUGAACCGCAUGGUUCAAUAGUGAAAGACGGUUUUGCUGUCACUUAUAGAUGGAUCCGCGCCGCAUUAGCUAGUUGGUAAGGUAACGGCUUACCAAGGCAACGAUGCGUAGCCGACCUGAGAGGGUGAUCGGCCACACUGGAACUGAGACACGGUCCAGACUCCUACGGGAGGCAGCAGUAGGGAAUCUUCCGCAAUGGGCGAAAGCUUGACGGAGCAACGCCGCGUGAGUGAUGAAGGUCUUCGGAUCGUAAAACUCUGUUAUUAGGGAAGAACAAAUGUGUAAGUAACUAUGCACGUCUUGACGGUACCUAAUCAGAAAGCCACGGCUAACUACGU
rnacentral:rRNA from 1 species